GGGAGGAGUGAGAGCGAGCGAGAGCUCAGGCAACGCGGCGGAAAGCCUGCAAGUCCGCUCUGAGUAACUGGAUCGAACCGGUCCCAAACUGAGGAUCCUCCCCAGGAAGGCUACUCGCCUCGCGGUGCGGGUCCCCGGAGCCUGACCUGCCGCUCCCGGCGCUCCAGGCUGCUGGGAGCUCGUUUCCAGGAGCCGGCUGGGGAGCCAGAAGGGCCAACAGGACACUGCCUUCAGGCAGUUGGCAGUGCACCCUUGCUGUGUCUCAGCUCUCCAGGAUAAUCCUGCACCCAGAGGGAUUGGUGCUUUCCAUUUUUGGUUAGGCACUGCAAGGAAAUGAAGAAGGGUGGCAGGCGUGACGAUGGACUCAGGACAUGGGCUUCAGAACCAGACAUCCUUGCUGUUGAAUCCAGGCUCUUCCCAGUGGGGAACACGGGGAAGAAUGGAUGCAGUUACCACCUGUCUCCCCACAAAGGAUCUGUUCAGGGAAGCUGUGGGCUCUGGAGCCAGAGAGAGCCAGGAGGAAGGGGAAGGGAGGGGAUCUGCAUUUGUUUUUUUUUUGUUUUUGUUUUUGUCUUUUUGCCUUUUCUAGGGCCACUUCCUGAAGCAUAUGGAGGUUCCCAGGCUAGGGCUCUGAUUAGGCCCCAGCCUGGGAACGUCCAUAUGCUGCGAGAGCGGCCCUAGAAAUGGCAAAAAGUCCAAAAAAAAAAAAAAAAUGCAGUCAGACCCUGAGCUUUGUGAUCAGGCUCGACGGUCUGUAUUUCCCUGCUCCUUAGGACUGGUAGGGAGCCUGGUAGUGAUGGGUUUGUCAUACAUCAUGUUUUGACUCUCCAGUGACCUUCUCAGAGAGCAGCAACAGCCCCGGAGGGGAACACAGGGUAGAACCGAUGUGAUGAUAACAUAUAUCAAUGCAGAACGAUCUGUCCAGGGCAGCUGUGGGUUCCCCAAGCAAGAGAGAAUGGGGGAGGGGGGACUCAGUAGGAGGGGGGUGGGGGAGGGGAGGGGAGAUGACAGGGAGGGAGAAAGGGAAGCUGAGCUGGGAGCUAAGGGAGCUCAGGGGAUGAGAACCUGAUAAAUCCAGCCAACCAACUGGGAUGCUAGAUCAUUUAAAAAUGUGCAACAUCCUGGUUUGAAACCAGCUGAUUUAUUUUUCCAUCAGCUUUCCUCACAGAUGAAAACAACAACUGCUCACAUUAGCGGCCAAGAGGGGCUGGGCAGGGACCAACGCCAAGGAGGUAGCAGGUGCUAUGGCAGCCUGGGGAACCCCUCAGCUUCCCCUCUAAGCAGCUGCUUCUGACAGGAAGAGGCCUACGGAGUGGGUUUUGGACCUACACGCAGGGCGGCGAGUACCCUCUGCUUCAGGGCUACCAGGUUCCCCCACAGGGCGCCUUCCAGGGCCUGGUUGCUGUAAGAGUGGGCCAACGAGCGCCCCAGAAUUCACAGAGAAGGGAAGACGAGAAAUACCUGAGCGGACGAGACGACCUCCCUUCCUCCAGUAGGUUAGCAUCAAACCGGUGGGUCCCCUUUGAUCCAUCAGACCUUUGCCUCCUUGCGUUCUGAUGGUUCCGAUCGUCAGGCUCAGGCGCAGGGUUUUGAUGAGAAGCAUCAGCGCUCAUAUCCUAUUGGAAGCUCUCCUUGCCAAUGCCUUUUUGUGAAGGGAGGUUUGUUCAGAUGACCAACCUGUCUUCCCUCUCAAAAGUCCUGUGUGUGACCUCCGACCUUCUGGGUCGCCAGAGGCUAUCUCUUAGCGCCAUCUAGUGGUCAGCGUGGCUUAUUUUCCUAAAGGACCCUGAGCUCGGGCAUUCCUCCUCCCAGCCCACCUAGGGACAUUCCCUUCUGAUCUGACCAUGGCAAGCUUGGGUCACUUUGAAAAGUGGUGAUUGUUGAGGCUUUAAGCUCUGCCUAAAGUGGAGGCUGUAAGCUCUGUGUCCUUUGUCCCUGUUCAAUUUUACAUAGUUUCAGGGAAGGGGAUUGGAGACGAGUGGUAUUAAAAGACUAGGGUAAAAUAGGAAAAAAUGGAAUGAACAUUCUCCUCCUUCCCCGCACUGGUCACCCGGCUCUGGCAUGCACAGACCAUCAGCUUGGCACGUACCCCAGGCAUCUCUCACCCAGCGGUGGCACAAGAGCAGGACACAGGAAGAGUCUUUUCUGAACCAAGGACAAAUUGAGUAUUAAGAUUCAUCUUUGCCACAGAUCAAGUGAUGGGACAUGGAGCUGGAACCAGACUGCUCGACUCAGAGCACCGAGGGAAUCCACAUACUGGGAGCUUUUCUUCCAGAGAAGUGAGCUUUGGGAUUUUCAGAGAGGUUGUGUGGGUAGUGCACCUUUCCAAAAAGGAAUAUCCACGUUUCCUGGUUCUGAAUUUCCUAGUCCAGGUCCAGAAGAGGGAGCACUAGCCCUUUCCCCUCACAGAGGGGUGCCCACCCAAAGGAAUGAGGUAGAACCAACGCACGGGUCUUGUACCCAAGAAGGCAGGUCGGCAACAGAGCAGAAUGCACUGAUUCCUAGGAUGGGAACAGGCAUUGCUCUGGGGGUGAUACGUGACUGCUGCUCCUUCCAAACACUAUGCAUUGUUCAUUGGCCACUGGGGAAACAUUCAGAUGGUUUCUGGAAUGGCCUGACCCUGAAAGGAGGAAUUUCCCUGCAGGGUACAGGGAGUUGUGCUUAUGUGGACCCAGAAUCUCUGGAAUAAAGAUACUCUUGGAAA
ensembl:lncRNA